rnacentral:rRNA from 1 species
AUUGAACGCUGGCGGAAUGCUUUACACAUGCAAGUCGAACGGCAGCACGGACUUCGGUCUGGUGGCGAGUGGCGAACGGGUGAGUAAUAUAUCGGAACGUGCCCAGUCGUGGGGGAUAACGUAGCGAAAGUUACGCUAAUACCGCAUACGAUCUAUGGAUGAAAGCGGGGGAUCGCAAGACCUCGCGCGAUUGGAGCGGCCGAUAUCAGAUUAGGUAGUUGGUGGGGUAAAGGCCCACCAAGCCAACGAUCUGUAGCUGGUCUGAGAGGACGACCAGCCACACUGGAACUGAGACACGGUCCAGACUCCUACGGGAGGCAGCAGUGGGGAAUUUUGGACAAUGGGCGAAAGCCUGAUCCAGCCAUUCCGCAUGCAGGAUGAAGGCCCUCGGGUUGUAAACUGCUUUUGUACAGAACGAAAAGGUUUCUACUAAUACUAGGAGCUCAUGACGGUACUGUAAGAAUAAGCACCGGCUAACUACGUGCCAGCCGCCGCCGUAA